CCUGCAGACACGUAGUCACAGGAGUAGCCCUUACUUGGGUCAAAAUCAUGGUUUGUCCUACGUACCCACGCAGGGCUGGAUGGGGGGGGGGGUUUGCCAACAGUCCCUUAUUUUUUUAUCUCUGUACAAGAUCAGGAGUUGGUGAGUGCUGCAAAAAGCAGCAAGAAAUUCCCCUGGCAAAAAUUCCCCUGGCAAAGAUGAAAACUUCCAAGACGCAGAGCUGUGAGAACGUGAGUAAUCUGUGUGGUGCUCCUGGAAAGUGUGCGUGUGUAGGAGGGAGAGAAAUGGAAAACCAUUCCCCCCUACAAAGAGUUCUCUAUACCAAAAAUGGUUUGGAUUUUGAAACGGAAACAAACUUUUUGAUUUCAAAUUAAUUGAAAAUUAGAAACUUCGGUGGAAAAUGUUGAAUGCAACAAAACGUUUAAUUUCUUUUGGUGGGGGGAAGAGGAGAAUGUUUUUAAGGACAAUACCUUUUUUUCAGACUGGUUCUAACUGGGAUUCAUGUCUGGAUGAGCAGGGAAGGUGAUCUACCACGACAGACAACUUUUGCAGAAUGCUGCCAUAGUAUCAUUUGGGAUGCUACUUGAUUUUAAGUCUAUUUGAACAGACAGAAGUUUUUUUUACUAUAAUCCAGGGAAAUUAUUUUGCUAAGGAAACUGUCCUGGUUUCAUACAUUCCCUAUGCUUGUCAGUACUAAUAAAAAGGCUAAACAAAGGGAUUCAUCACCAAUGCAAAUAAAAUAUUAACUGCAAAGAAGAGAGAGAAAAUGUAAGAGAUGCAUUUUCAUUAGGUAAUCGGGGAAGACUCUGGCCUCUUUCAGUCUGCAUAUCCUGCAAAGAUCUUACUGUUUAUUUCUCUUAUAUCCUUUAUGUUGGAUAAGAUAUAAUGGAUACUGGAUCUGGAUAGUGGCUUUCCUUCAGUUUCUGAGGCACCUGUCAUGUUGUGUGAUGCCACUUUACAUUUGUUAAAAUAACAUUGCAAGACAUAACAUAAUGCAAUGCAAAAUGAAGCGUUAUAAAUGUGACAUGGCGUGUCUAAAACAAUUCUUGCUUUUAGUGGAUCAGUUAUCCUUUAAAAGCUGGUAUUUAGGAUUGUCCUUAGAUAAUUCAAUAGCUCCACAUCUCUUGUAGGAGCGAUGUCAACCUGAGUUACCAUUUCUGCUUAACAGAGAUGAUGGGAGAAGAUGGCAUGAAAAGGGAUGAAAGGAAAACAGAUUCUGAAUACAUAUCCUGGAGCACUUUUUCAAGCAAGUGAUCAAGGAAAGUUUUUGGGGCCAAGCUCUACAGCCCUGUAAGAAACAGUAACCAUCAGAGAACAGCUGGGCUCUGAGGUAUAGUUUUUGCUGUACUCCUUCUUGCUUUUUAGUUUUCCUUGACUGUUUAACCCACCAUCACUGUGAGUGCGCUGACAUCAUGGAAGAAAAAUGUGUUAAAUUGAUUCUGCCCUAGAGGGAAGGGAAGUGGAUUUAGAACACAAAUUGUUGUUGAAAUCGGGAGAAUGCAGCUUGGAAUUUCUGUGAACCCAAAGCAUGUGAUCAUCUUCCUUCCCCCCCCCCCCCAGAU